CACCAGCCCCUCGAGUGGUGGGGAUGAUCAUUUGGCCUAAAGCGUCCGUAGCCGGCCGGGUAAGUUUCCCGUUAAAUCCAGCGUCUCAAGCGUUGGACUGCGGGAAAUACUGCCUGGCUAGAGAGUGGGAGAGGUCAGCGGUAUUCUGGGGGUAGGGGCGAAAUCCUUUGAUCCCCGGAGGACCACCAGUGGCGAAGGCUGCUGACUAGAACACGUCUGACGGUCAGGGACGAAAGCUGGGGUAGCGAACCGGAUUAGAUACCCGGGUAGUCCCAGCCGUAAACGAUGCAUGCUAGGUGUUGGGUUGGCCACGAGCCACCCCAGUGCCGCAGGGAAGCCGUUAAGCAUGCCGCCUGGGAAGUACGAUCGCAAGAUUGAAACUUAAAGGAAUUGGCGGGGGAGCACCACCAGGCGUGAAGCCUGCGGUUU
rnacentral:rRNA from 1 species